rnacentral:rRNA from 1 species
GACGAACGCUGGCGGCGUGCUUAACACAUGCGAGUCGAACGGAAAGGCCCUGCUUUUGUGGGGUGCUCGAGUGGCGAACGGGUGAGUAACACGUGAGUAACCUGCCCUUGACUUUGGGAUAACUUCAGGAAACUGGGGCUAAUACCGGAUAGGAGCUCCUGCUGCAUGGUGGGGGUUGGAAAGUUUCGGCGGUUGGGGAUGGACUCGCGGCUUAUCAGCUUGUUGGUGGGGUAGUGGCUUACCAAGGCUUUGACGGGUAGCCGGCCUGAGAGGGUGACCGGCCACAUUGGGACUGAGAUACGGCCCAGACUCCUACGGGGGGCAGCAGUGGGGAACAUUGCACAAUGGGCGGAAGCCUGAGGCAGCAACGCCGCGUGCGGGAUGACGGCCUUCGGGUUGUAAACCGCUUUCGCCUGUGACGAAGCGUGAGUGACGGUAAUGGGUAAAGAAGCACCGGCUAACUACGUG